rnacentral:lncRNA from 1 species
GCCAGCAUCAUCGGACUGGACUAAUCAUAGUAUAAUCCCAAGUCAAUAAGUUGACCGGGCGCAAAAUUGUUCUUAAAAGAUAGUUUCUGAAAAUACAAUAUCACAUGGCUCCUCCAUUCCUUGCAAUUAAUCCUUUAACUAAAGCAUAGUCGAUGUUGAGCCGCAUGACUUAAUAGUUAAUAACACUCCACUGUACUUAUCAGGUUGCUUUAGAAUGUUCUUGCCACGUGCUUAGACAAAGCUUGUGGGUUCAGAAAAGCCCAAGGUACCAAGGAAAGGAGCGCCUUUCGGGAAAAGUAAAGCAGAAGAGAGGUGGGAUACUAUCUAAUAGCCAGCUGCAGCACGUGCUCCUAGGCACUCUAUGAGACUAAAAUGUGAACCUCCUUAUAAUAAAGUAGCACAUUCUUAUAUCCAUCUUAUUAUACAUGCUAGCUAUAUGUUAGCUAAAGAUGACAUGGCAAAAACUUAGAGCAUUUCUAAUGGUGGUUGAUACUAAAAUUCUUCUCUCCAUUUUUUAAUAUGUUUUCUUUUUUCUUAUUAAUUUCUUUUUCUUGAUGGGCCCACAUGUCAUCCUUUUUUGCGUCUUGGUAUCCGUAUAAUACAUGUUAAUUCUUCAAGUAACCACUACUUAGAUGUGAUAUUAAUCUCUCUUCCACAUUGAUCAUUUAUUUCUUGGUAUCCCUAUAGUACCUCUUGUUGAGGAUGCUCUUAUAGCCAGCAGCAAGCUAAACUAUUAUUCAUAAUCUUAGCUCUAAGUGCAUAUACCAGUACUCCUUUGGGAAGAGUACAGGAUCUCGAUCGAGCUUUCGGAUGUCGCUAACUUGAAGGGAAAAAAAACUUGUUCUUUCUAAUGACUCUGCUGCCCCAGUUUUUCUCUAUCGGGCUGCUUUUGGGCUUUGGCAUGUUAAUGCUACAGGUUCAGGAGCUUAGUUUCGGCCCAUUCAAUUUCAAGGAUUUUCCCAACGACAGCAGUAGCGGACCUGCAGUAGCAACAUGAAAAAAUUCGACAAUC